GACGAACGCUGGCGGCGUGCCUAAUACAUGCAAGUCGAGCGAAGUUUUUCUGGUGCUUGCACUAGAAAAACUUAGCGGCGAACGGGUGAGUAACACGUAAAGAACCUGCCUCAUAGACUGGGACAACUAUUGGAAACGGUAGCUAAUACCGGAUAACAGUAUUUCUCGCAUGAGAGAUAUUUAAAAGUUGGUUAUGCUAACACUAUGAGACGGCUUUGCGGUGCAUUAGCUAGUUGGUGGGGUAAAGGCCCACCAAGGCGACGAUGCAUAGCCGACCUGAGAGGGUGAUCGGCCACACUGGGACUGAGACACGGCCCAGACUCCUACGGGAGGCAGCAGUAGGGAAUCUUCCGCAAUGGGCGAAAGCCUGACGGAGCAACGCCGCGUGAGUGAAGAAGGAUUUCGGUUCGUAAAGCUCUGUUGUUAGGGAAGAAUGGAUAUGUAGUAACUAUACAUGUAAGAGACGGUACCUAACCAGAAAGCCACGGCUAACUACGUG
rnacentral:rRNA from 1 species